UACAGAGGUCUCAAGCGUUGUUCGGAUUCAUUGGGCGUAAAGGGUGCGUAGGCGGCGCGGUAAGUCGGGUGUGAAAUCUCGGAGCUUAACUCCGAAACUGCAUUCGAUACUGCCGUGCUUGAGGACUGGAGAGGAGACUGGAAUUCCUGGUGUAGCGGUGAAAUGCGCAGAUAUCAGGAGGAACACCAAUGGGCGAAGGCAGCUCGCUGGGACGUGACUGACGCU
rnacentral:rRNA from 1 species